GACGAACGCUGGCGGCGUGCCUAAUACAUGCAAGUCGAACGAGAGCGACCGGUGCUUGCACUGGUCAAUCUAGUGGCGAACGGGUGAGUAACACGUGGGUAACCUGCCCAUCAGAGGGGGAUAACAUUCGGAAACGGAUGCUAAAACCGCAUAGGUUCUUUAGUCGCAUGACUGAAGAAGGAAAAGAGGCUUCGGCUUCUGCUGAUGGAUGGACCCGCGGUGCAUUAGCUAGUUGGUGAGGUAACGGCUCACCAAGGCGAUGAUGCAUAGCCGACCUGAGAGGGUGAUCGGCCACAUUGGGACUGAGACACGGCCCAAACUCCUACGGGAGGCAGCAGUAGGGAAUCUUCCGCAAUGGACGCAAGUCUGACGGAGCAACGCCGCGUGAGUGAAGAAGGAUUUCGGUUCGUAAAACUCUGUUGUUAGAGAAGAACAGCGCAUAGAGUAACUGUUAUGCGUGUGACGG
rnacentral:rRNA from 1 species